ensembl:lncRNA
UAUAUAUAUUACGCCAAUUAGCUCAAAGAUACAAGAAGAACAAAUUGAGUGCAUUUUGCAGUUAUUGUUGAUAAACAGAAUACAUAAGACCAUUAAUCAUUGCAAGGAUUAUGAAUGCCCUGUGUGUCACAGCAGUUAUUUUAAUGGUGUUCUUCCAGAUCAGUUUUCCUUGCUGGGGUGGUCGGUGGGAGGUUGAGUCCUAGCAGAAUGGUGUUGGUCCAGUUUUUAGAAUGUGAGGCUACUCUUCAGGGGAUCAUCGGAAAAGUGCAAGAUGCCACUGGAAGUCAUGACCCCAUGGUAUUGACUGAUGCAUAGGGGAAUGCAAUUUUGGUGUCAGAAGAGACAACAGCCGAAAAGAUGAAGAUGCUGCAGGGAUUGGAGAGGUCACUGAGAAAAUAGAAGAGCUUGUACUGGCAUCACAGAGUCUACUAGAUGUCACUGCAGCAAUCAAAGAGCUCACCAAUCAUUUUUUGAAAAAAAAAAAAAAAAAAAAAAAAAAAAAAAGCAUCCCCUUGGUAAAACCACCAACCGCCCUUACCAUCCCCUUUCAAUAAUUAGUGUAGGCUAUUAUGUAAAACUUAACAUGCAAAUGAAAUGUUAAAAUUCUCUACUUAUGAUAAUUCACAAACUAAAUAACAGCAACUGGCCAAUCAGAACUCGGUACUAUAACAAGCUGCUCACAAGCGAAAGCAAGUUUCUGUAAUUUUUCAUGGAAAAUGGUUCAAGCGCAACUUUUGAAGUUCUUUAAAUAGAAGACAAUAGAAAAGGUAUGAUUUUUCCUUGAUUAUAAUUUAAAGACAUUCCG